rnacentral:rRNA from 1 species
CGUCUAUAUACGUAUAGCAUAUCAAUAAGCGGAGGAAAAGAAACUAACUAGGAUUCCCCUCAGUAACGGCGAGUGAAGCGGGAAGAGCUCAAAUUUGAAAUCUUCAAGGGUUUACCUUUACGAAUUGUAGUUUAAAGAAGUGUUUUCUGUUGGAGUUUCGGUAAAAGUUCUUUGGAAUAGGACAUCAUAGAGGGUGAGAAUCCCGUAUUUGACCAGUUACUUUCCAGCUGUGUGAUACACUUUCAAAGAGUCGGAUUGUUUGGGAAUGCAGUCCAAAAUGGGUGGUAAAUUUCAUCUAAAGCUAAAUACUGGCGAGAGACCGAUAGCGAACAAGUACCGUGAGGGAAAGAUGAAAAGAACUUUGAAAAGAGAGUUAAACAGUACGUGAAAUUGUCAAAAGGGAAGCGUUUGACACCAGUGUUGUUUCGUCGAAAAUCAAUUAAAUAUGGUGGGAUUUUGUGUUGUAUUGACUUUAUCAGCUUUCUGCACUUUUUUCCUGUCUUUUUUAAUGCACUUUUCGUUUAACAAGUCAACAUCAAUUUCUUUUGUUGUAAAAGGGUCAUUGGAAGGUGGCUUUCUUUUCGGAGAAAGUGUUUAUAGCCUUUGACUUCUGCAAUCGGAGAGAUUGAGGUCUGCAGCGUAGAUCCUUCGGGGUUAGAUGCAUUUGUGCUAAGUUAUAGCCUUUCAUAGACAACUUGUUGACUAUGAUCAGUCAUGUAGCUUACUCGCUUAUGCUAUUUUACCUACGCUUAGGAUGUUGACGAUCAGCUGAGCGCG